AUCAUGGCUCAGGAUGAACGCUAGCUACAGGCUUAACACAUGCAAGUCGAGGGGAAACGAUAGGAAAAGCUUGCUUUUUCUAGGCGUCGACCGGCGCACGGGUGAGUAACGCGUAUCCAACCUGCCCAUCACUUGGGGAUAACCUUGCGAAAGUAAGACUAAUACCCAAUGAUAUCUCUAGAAGACAUCUGAAGGAGAUUAAAGAUUUAUCGGUGAUGGAUGGGGAUGCGUCUGAUUAGCUUGUUGGCGGGGUAACGGCCCACCAAGGCAACGAUCAGUAGGGGUUCUGAGAGGAAGGUCCCCCACAUUGGAACUGAGACACGGUCCAAACUCCUACGGGAGGCAGCAGUGAGGAAUAUUGGUCAAUGGACGAGAGUCUGAACCAGCCAAGUAGCGUGCAGGAUGACGGCCCUAUGGGUUGUAAACUGCUUUUAUAAGGGAAUAAAGUGAGCUACGUGUAGCUUUUUGCAUGUACCUUAUGAAUAAGGACCGGCUAAUUCCGUGCCAGCAGCCGCGGUAAUACGGAAGGUCCGGGCGUUAUCCGGAUUUAUUGGGUUUAAAGGGAGCGUAGGCCGGAGAUUAAGCGUGUUGUGAAAUGUAGAUGCUCAACAUCUGCACUGCAGCGCGAACUGGUUUCCUUGAGUACGCACAAAGUGGGCGGAAUUCGUGGUGUAGCGGUGAAAUGCUUAGAUAUCACGAAGAACUCCGAUUGCGAAGGCAGCUCACUGGAGCGCAACUGACGCUGAAGCUCGAAAGUGCGGGUAUCGAACAGGAUUAGAUACCCUGGUAGUCCGCACGGUAAACGAUGGAUGCCCGCUGUUGGUCUGAAUAGGUCAGCGGCCAAGCGAAAGCAUUAAGCAUCCCACCUGGGGAGUACGCCGGCAACGGUGCAACUCAAAGGAAUUGACGGA
rnacentral:rRNA from 1 species